rnacentral:rRNA from 1 species
UACGAAGGGGGCUAGCGUUGUUCGGAAUUACUGGGCGUAAAGCGCGCGUAGGCUGCGCGACAAGUCAGAGGUGAAAUCCCAGAGCUUAACUUUGGAACUGCCUUUGAAACUGUCGCGCUGGAAUCUCAGAGGGGAUAGCGGAAUUCCAAAUGUAGGGGUGAAAUCCGUAGAUAUUUGGAGGAACACCGGUGGCGAAGGCGGCUAUCUGGAUGAGUAUUGACGCUGAGGCGCGAAAGCGUGGGGAUCAAACAGG